rnacentral:lncRNA from 1 species
ACCGAUGUAUACUGAUUAGAAAAAGUAAACAAUGAAUCUAACAAAUUAGUUGGGUAAAGAUUACCUGAGAACUUUGGCACAUAAGGGGCAAGUUGAAAAAUCUCAACUUUAUAACCAGUGUUGAUUUUUUCCCAAACCUUAGCUUGAUAAUGAAGAAUUUUCCUAGAAAAUAAAUCCACAGCUUCCAAAGAAAUAUAAUAAAUUGCAUUAGCAGUAGCUUCAAAAUUAACAUUCAUAAUUCUCAAUAAUUCCAACUUUGAUUUUUCUGAUUUUUCAUUGUAUUUAUCUACAGCAAAAGUUGUAGCUUUUUUUGCUUUUUCAAAAGCUUCAGAAUUUUCGACAAUUUUCACUAUUCCACAUGGUAUUUUCCAACCAAAAUCGUUCAUCACAUAGAAACCCUACAUAUUUUUAUAAAAAAAUAGCAAAAAGAAGGAAGAAGUUAGUAUUCAACAGGGAACAAAAAAGGAAAUAACAAAAAACUUAUGAUAUAUCAAAACUAUAGAAAGUUAAAAACCAUACAGCUACAUGAAAACACACAAUAAAAAUAAAAUUUUAAAAAACAUGAAAUAUCAUAUUGGAUUGCAAGAACAACAACAACAACAACUACCCAGUAUACUCCCACCAGGUGGGGUCUGGGGAAGGUAAUAAAUGUUCAUGCAUUGGACAACAACAACAACAACAACAACUAACCAGUAUACUCCUACCAGGUGGGGUCUGGGGAGGGUAAUAUGUAGACAAGCGUUACCCCUACCCGAAAGGGCAGAGAGGCUGUUUACAAUCGACCCCCAGCUCAUAGUUUAAAAGGAAAAACAGCAGUAAAACAAAACAAAGACAAAAACACAAACAAUAGAGCAUUAGUAACUCCAGCAGAAAUAGCGUAAAUAGCGUAAAUAAUUAUCUAACCAUACGAAACAUAAAUACAAUCGCAUGCAAUAAUAUCAUACAGUAACUACCAUAACUAACAGUCAUAGGGGGACAUAAGCUAAAACACAAAUCAUCCAUAAGUAACCCUGCUGACCCAAUCUGGAUAAUUUUAAUUCAAUACUAAUAAUAAUAAUAAUAAUAAUAAUAAUAAUAAUAAUAAUAAUAAUAAUAAUAAUAAUCAUGCCAAUAGGUUCAAUUGAACUUUUAGUAUUUCUACAUAUAGAAAAUCACUAAAACUUUAACAAAUAUUAUGUUCUGAACUCAUAAAAAGAAAGAGAUUCGAUAGUGAGGAUAUAUAUAUAUAUAUAUAUAUAUAUAUAUAUAUAUAUAUUGAGUGUCAAAAUUAAAUCCUUGAAUUCACUUCUGGCUGUAAUAGAAUAACAACAAAAAUAACUUGAUUAGCAGCUAGGGAUAUUCACGAAAAAAUUGUAAAUACUUGAUAAAAUUAAUUUAACAACAAAUUUAUAAGCACCUUAACUAUUUAAAAAUGAUAAUUUAUGACAGAUAAAUUGUGUAGUUAAACAAUAAAAUCCAUCGCUGAUCCUAUUUAAUUACGAAUUAGCAACAAAUUAUUAAGAUUUAACGAAAGAUUAGCAACGAAGUUUGUACCUGACUCUCAAUGACAUCUUCCAAGUAUUCGUUUUGUUCGAAAGUAUACGUUGCCAUAAUUGGUACUGAAGAAAGAAUUGUUCUUAUUCGUGAAGAAGAAAGAGAUUAUUCGUAGAUGAAAACAAGAAGCUAAGGAAAGAAUAUCUUAUUCGUGAAGAAGAAAGAGAUUAUUUGUAGAUGAAAACAAGAAGCUAAGGAAAGAACCAAUAUAUAUAUAAGAGGUUUUACAACCAAAAUUUAUAUGAUAAAUCCC